UCUGGAUCUGAGCUUUUCAAAUUGUCUUGGGUUAGAAUGAGAGCAGAAUCUUCAUCACCUUGUGAAGGACUCCUGGAUGGAAAGGAUUUCAUAUUUCCACUGUAAUCCUGGGGAGUGUUGGCUGUGCUGUUGUCUGAGAUGAUGGACAUUUGGAUUGCUCAAAAUACAUUUUACCAGAUUUCAUCUUUUGCCAUCAACCAGGGAAGUGUUAAAAGAUCAAGUAUUACAUACUCCUUUCAAAAGCAUUCUCCUUAUGUGCAAAGAGCAUUGUACUGGGCAAUAUGAGUAAUGGAUAUAAUACAGAUCCAGCCAUAAGGAACUGGAAGUAUGGAGGCAGAGUUCAGGUUAUCUACUUAGCUAAAAAUAUGAUGUGGCUAUGCUGCUGUGUUUCACAUAUCCUGAGUCAUGAGAGACGUUCAAGGAACAGUGGUUAUCAAGAAAUAAGCACAGAAAAGAGACGAACAAGAACGAGUGUGUCUUACUUCUUCUAGGGUCUCUAGUUCUUCCUCCAGCUGCUGGGUCUCCUCCUUCACUGCCAUAAGGGAAAUAAUUCCACUAGGCAGAGUUUCAGCAGAGAAAGGAGGUAAGCUAAGUCAUGAUCACGACCUAAUUCCACAUUUAACUUAGAAGACACUUGGUUUAUUUGGUCCCUCCUUUCCUCUGUCCUUUCUUGCUUCCUUUUCUUCUUCCCUCCCUGUUUUUUGCUUUUAAAUAAUAUUGGAACUUACAUUUUUAAGGUACAAUUUUUAUAAAAUUUUGAUUUCGAAAUAGAAUUUGAUAUGUAGGGGAAAGGAGGGGGAGAGGGGACACAGGAGAAUACCAGAUACUUAAGCAUUCUCUAGUGUGUUUUAUGUCCCAGAAAACCCCUUGAAGCCCAGUGUUCUAUAUACUUUGGACUCCAGAUAUUACACAGUGGCAGGAUCUACGUUCAUAAGCGUCCUCAGUAAGGUCCUGUAGGUUUGCAUACUUGUACAUGAAGUUGC